rnacentral:lncRNA from 1 species
CCCAACCAAAUGAUUUGAAGAAAGAUCAAGCAAAGUUAGAUUAGUUGAGAUUCCAAAAUCUUCUGGUAUGCUCCCUGUAAUAUCGUUACCGGCCAUCUCCAGCCUUUGUAGUUGUGGGCACCUUCCCCAGUUAUGAGAGAGUUCGCCAUGAAACCUGUUGUAGCUCAAAUCGAUGUAUUCCAGGUUUGGACAGUCACCAACUACCUCAGAUAUAUUUCCAGUGAGUUGAUUUCCCCCGAACAGAGCUCUGGUUAAGUUUCUGCAAUUUUUCAUGCUUUUAGGGAUGGGACCACUGAGAAGGUUGUCGCUCACUGUAAAGCGUACCAGAGAUCCACCUUGGCAAAUUCCUUCUGGUAAAGAGCCAGACAGCCGAUUUGUGUCGAUUUCUAGCACAACCAACUUAUGAAGUUUCCCAAUUUCUUUAGGAAAGUAACCAGAAAGAUGGUUAUCACGGAGGAAUAAAAUUUCUAAGUUGGUCAGAUUACCCAGUGAAGUAGGAAUGGAACCAUUGAGUUGGUUUUCUGAAAGUUCUAGAUCAACAAGAGACUUCAAGUUACCUAUUUCUGGAGGAAUGGGACCGGAAAGUUGAUUGGCAUAGAGAUGCAGGAGGGUUAGGCCACUGAGAUCACCCAAGGACGCAGGGAUUGGACCAGAAAGAUUGUUUGCGUAGAGGCUUAUACCUUGCAGAGAUGUCAAAUUUCCUAUUUCUGGUGGGAUAUGCCCGGAGAGUUGAUUGUUGAAUAGGUACAACGUGGUUAAACGUUUCAAGUUUCCGAAAGUGGAAGGGAUGAGACCUGUGAGAUUGUUGGUAUCCGAGUAUAUCUCAACAAGGUUGGCGAGAUUUCCCAUUUCUGGAGGAAUGGAACCGGAAAGUUGAUUUUCAUAGAGAUACAAAGAGGCCAAGUUGCUCAAAUUACCCAAAGAAGCAGGAAUAGAACCCUCCAGUUGGUUGGUGUACAAAGCAAGCUCAUAAAGAGAUGACAACUGACCGAUUUCAUGAGGAAUUGAACCAUUGAGCUGAUUUUGAACCAGGUGCAGGACCUCAAGGUUAGUUAAUAGGCCAAUUUCCGGUGGAAUCCCUCCUGAGAACUGGUUGGUGGACAGAUCAAGGUAUUUGAGCUUGGAGAGGAGACCGAUUUGGGGUGGGAUAGGACCAGAGAGGUUGUUGAUGCAGACAUCAACGUAUGCAAGAUUGGGAAAAGAUGAAAAUGAGAAGGCUUGGAGCGUACCUCUUAAACCGGACUCUGUGAGGUUUAUUCUGAUGACACUCCCUGCAUGGUUGCAGGAUAUCCCAUACCAUUUGCAUGGACCGGUUGCCGUUCCAUGGUGGGUAGAAGAAUUGGUGGAGUUGUUAGGAUCCGGAUAAAGAGUCCACGAAAGGAGGAAAGAAUGGUUAUGGUUGUGAAGGGUAGAUUUCCAUUUGAGGAGAGCUUGUGUUUCUUCAUUAGAAUAAGAAGAAACAUGAUCUGAACAAAUUAACAUAACCAAGAGGAGUAGGGAAACAAGGGAGAGCAUUUUCUGUAAGGUUGAGAACGCCAUGUAUAGUUUUAGUUGAUAAAUUGCAUAUGCUGCUUCACAUCUUCUUUUAUACACAUUUGGUUCCUUUGGUCCUUUUAGGUGACUGUCUUGUUCACGCGUAUUCCCACAGGGAAGAAAGUUGCGUUUUAAUGUCAAGAUCAAGGUCCUUUGAAGCAUGGCUCCUUUUUCUUUCUUUUUUCCAUGGAUUGCACUGUACUAGUAUGGUGGUCUUCCUGUGUGAUUAUGGUGGUUGAAAUCUUCUCUUUUUGCAAAUUUGGAAAUUAAGUUUAGCAGGUGUUGUUGAACAAUAUUUUUAAUUGUUUUUAGUUGAUUUCACUUAUUUUUAAGGGUUGUUUUAAAAAAAAAAAAAUUAUAUAAAUAGGAAGAAUGAUUAAAAAUAAAAUAAUAGAUAUAAAAAUUAUUUUUAAAACAUAUUUAAGAACAUUAAAAAUAAGUUAAAAAUACCAAUUUCUUAAACAAAAUUUUAUUUUACAAAAUAUCAGAGAACAAUUUUAAUUUUUUUUUUCAAAAAUUGUUAUUCAUAAUUGUUUGUAAAAAUAUUCUAUUAAAUAGAGCCUAAUUCUUUUUGGGUCUUUACUUUCAUGUUUAUAAUCAUAAUGGUUUGCCCUUUAUUAACAAACUUGAAGGUUUGUUUUAGUUAAAUAAUUGCAAAAGAAAAUUUUAGUAUGUCAUAUUUAAUCACUUAAGUGGAUUUAUUAAAACUUAGGUGAUGUUUUUAAUAGUAUUUAAUAAUGUUAAGUAUUAAGUUGUUUAUUUUUUUUUAAUAUUUUAUUUCAAUUAAGUAUUAAAAAAUAUAGAAAAAUUAAUAUGUUGCUUUUGAUAUUAAGAAAAAGUCAAAUAUUUUGAUUUUUUUCUAUUUAAUGAAAAAAUUUAAGAAAUAAGUAAUAAGUUAACAAAAAGUGAAAAAAUAAAUAAUUUGAAAUCUAAAAGCAAAUUACUUUAAAAAAAAAAGUUAAAAAAAAUGUCAUCUUAAUAAUUAAUAUUUAGAAAAUUUUAAAGAAAGUGAAAAAGAAAAAAAUGAAGUGAAAAAAAUGGAUUUUAAGUUAAUAAUUUAUUUUUAUAUGGUUUUUAAAACUUAUUUUAAUUAUUUUCUUUUAUAUAUAAAAAUUAAAUUAUUUAAAAACAUUUAAAAAUUUAUAAAUAAUUUUAAUUAUAUUUACUAACUUUUUUUUAUGUAUUUUAAUCAAACAUUAGAAAAUACUUUUUUUAAAUAUCUUUUCGUCUCUCCUUUCUUAGAACUAAAGAUAAGAAUGAUAAUUAAAUAUGAUUUAAAUUUAAAUUAUAUUUAACUUGUUGACUUAACAUUUAUUAUCUAAUUUUUAAUUUUUAAGUAUUAAGAUUAUUUGUUCAUAUUACUUAAUUUUUUAAAAAUUAUUAACCUCAUAUUAUCAAGUAACAAGAUUAUUUGAGAGGUACAAGGAAGAUAAAGGGACAUGGGCUGUUCAGGUAAAAAAAAAAAAAUGAAAUUUAGAAAAAGUUAAUUUUUUUGAGCUGUUAUUCUAAGUUUUUUUUUUUUUUUAGGUUUUAUAGGUUUGAUAGGACUUUAUGAUUGGACUCCAUAAUUUCCCUUUGGUCCUUUUCAUUUUUGAAUUUCACUGAGUUUAGCCCACUCUAUUUAACCCAAUUUUUAAGGCCCAUUGAGUUUAUAUUGAAACCCAGGUCUACUUGAUAAUAUGAGGUUAAUAAUUUUAUACACACUCACUUUGUAAGAUUGAAUCCCAGCCAUUGAUUUUAUAUUGAAACCCUAACCCAGAGGUACUUUUAGAGUCUUUAGUAUGAUAAGAAUAGGAUAUAUAUAAUAUCAUUUGGUAGGAUAUGAUAGAUACUUAUAUUUUAGAAUAUAUUUUUUGAGAAAUAUGAUAUUUUUGAAUAUUAUGUAUUUACUAUAUAUUAUAUUAUAUUUAUAUUAUUUAUAAAAUAAAUAAAUAAAUUAUUUUUUAAAUAAUAGAUACUUAUAUUUUAAAAUAUAUUUUUUGAGAAAUAUGAUAUUUUUAAAUAUUAUCUCUAAAUAGUGUAAAGUAUUAUAUAUAUAUAUAUAUAUAUAUAUAUAUAUAUAUAUAUAUAUAUAUUUAUAAAAUGAAUUAUUUAAUUAAUUAAAAAUUAAUUUUUAAUUAUUUAAUAUUUAUUUAAAAUAAAUAUCAUAUUGAUCCAAGUGAAGCUCAUCCCUUGAAUAGUAAUUCCAAAAGUGCUACAGUCAGCAAGAAAUUGCAUGAUAUGCUCUUGCUUUGCUUCUCCUGUAGCUUUAGCCUUUUCACAGAUCAUCUGUCUAAGGUUUUCAAGAAGGUCCAAAUUUUUCAGCUUGAAAAAUGAAAAUCUGGAAAUUUGACAUUCUUGGCUUUCUUGAGAAAGUUUUGAAUCUUCAUUUGGUUUUGAAAGUUCUUUUUGAAAUUCAUUUUGAAAAUCUUUUGAAAAUGCAUCUUUGGAUCCUUUUGCUUUUUUCCUGCAAAUGAAAUUUUCAAGAUCUGUAUCCAUUGGUGUGCAAUGUAUAUCAGAACUUGAAGGGUUAGAAAAACUUUCUAAUUUAUCAUUUAACUGUUUAAAAUGGAAAGAUAAUGCAUUUAAAGCUUCCAACUUUUGAAUAUCACUUUUUGCAUUCCAGAGGUUGUCUAAAAUGCAUUUUUGUGAUCUGUCUAAACCUUCAAUAUCUUUAUGAAUUCGAAAUGACAUAUUACAUUUAGGGAAUACUGGAAGAGUAAAUUUCCCAAAUGUAAUUCUUUCUUGCUCCAUCUGUAAACAAAAUUCAAAUAUUAGUAUCUCUAUUGAAGAAUAAAACAAAUAUCUAAUGAUUUUGUCUUUAUCAUACCAAAUUUGAAAAUAUAUUGAGUUUAUGAGAGGAACAUAAUUUCUAAUAAUGAUGUUAAAAUGAGGUUUUGAAUAUUUUGAAAUCACAUUUAUUGACUUAUAUGAGCAUGCACAAAUACCAUCACAAUCUUUUUGAUUAUCUGAUUCUUCUUCUAGACUUGACUCGUCACUUGAUAUUUCUUGAGUUAUAAGGAUUUGAUUAUCUUCUUCUGAUUCAUAAUUUUCACUUGAUUCAUCAUUUUCUUUAUCAAUCAUUAAUCCUAUCAUUAGAUUUUUGAGUUUAUCACUUAUUUCUAAUGAAUUGAUUUUAUUUUCUAAUUGACAAUCUCUUGAAUAAUGACCUACUUUUCCACAUUUAUAACAAGUAGGUGUUUUCUUUUUUAAAUCUGAGGAUUGUUUUUAUCAGUGUUAUGAGUGAUUUCAACUGAAUCGGUGUCUACCAGGAUGAACUCAUAGAAUUGACGAGUUUUCAAAGGAUCAUUUGAAUUAAAGUUGACUCCUUGAGGAAAGAUGUAAGGAAGAAUUUUAGGAAUCUCUUCAAAAUUGAACUCUGGCUCAAUGAAAGCAAUUUCUAAUGUUUUGGGUUUUUUGACAUAUUGACUAUAGGAAUAUGAAGGAGAAGGAAACUGAGAAGGAGAAGGUAAUGUUGAAAUAGUGUUGGGGCUUGAUUUACUCUGAACAACAAUAUUUUUAGGGGAUGAUUUAGAAGCUUGAAUAAAACUUUUUGAAGGUUGAAGAGGAGGAAAAUCUGGACUCAAAACUUGAAAAGAAUUUGAUGUCUGCAAAGGAAAAGUAGGACGAACAUUUGAAAAGUUUGAAAUCAUAGCAUAUGAUGCUUUGGUUUUCUUGGAUGAUGAAGGAAGUUGAGGCCUAACGGGAGUACCCAUUAGGAUGGAGAAGGAUCCUUACCCUGCAAAAACUCCCGAGUAAGGAAGUCAGGAAGGGAAUUCAACUCUCCUUUGAUAAAUUCGAUUUCAAAAUCAAAGUUUGAAAGUAAAGCUUGCCAUCUUGCAAAAAUUUGUUUUGAAACCAAAUUUUUAACAUCUUUUUGUAAAAUAUCUUUUGCAGCUUUGCAAUCGAUUUUCAAAAGAAAUUUCUUGUUUAUCAAAUCACUUUGAAAUUUUGAAAUACACAAAACUAUUGAUAAAACUUCUUUUUUGACAGUUGAAUAAUUUAUUUGAGCGCCCAACCAGAUCCCUGAAUGAUAUCUAACUAUAUGCACUUGAUUGUUAUAUUCUUGCUUUAAUAUGCCUCCAUAACCUAAAUUAGAUGCAUCUGAUUCUACAAUGAGUAAUGCAUUUGGAUGAGGAAUGCUGAUGCAUGGUAAUCUUUUGACUCUUUGUUUAAUUUCUUUAACCAGACUGGUAUGAUGCUCAUUCCAUGCAGGUGCAUUUUUUGUAAGUCUUUUGUAUAAUGGUUCACAAAUGAUUCUCAAAUCUUUGAAGUAAUCAGAAACAUAAUUUAAACAUCCUAGAAAUCUUUGCAAUUGUUUUUUAUCUUUUAUUUCAUCAGGAAAUUUGUCAGCGAAUUCUAUUGAUCUUUGAAUCGGUUUUGUUUUUCCUUGAAAAAUUUCAUGACCUAAAAAUCUGAUUUUUGUUUGAAACAAUUUCAUUUUUGGAGCAGAACAAGCCAUUCCAUUUGCUUUAAUGACAUUAAAAAACUUUUUCAAAUGAAUAAAAUGUUUUUCUAAUGAAUCAGAAAAUACUAAAACAUCGUCAAUAUAUACAAUGAUGAACUGAAAAUGAGGAUUAAAAAUAUCAUUCAUAAUAUUUUGAAAUUCAGAAGGGGCAUUUUUGAGACCAAAAGGCAUGACAUUCCAUUCAUAAUGACCAAAAGGGACAGUAAAAGCAGUUUUGUACCUAUCUUCUUCUUUAAUUUGAACUUGCCAAAAUCCUGAUUUCAUAUCAAAUUUUGAAUAAAUGACAGAACUAUGAAGUCUUUUAAGUAAAUCUUGCUUAUUAGGAAUAGGGUAUCUUAUCCAUUGUAAUACUUUAAUUAAAGGUUUAUAAUUAAUGACUAAUCUAGGUGCUCCUCUUUCUAUCUCAGCAGCAUUUUGAACAUAAAAAGCAGCACAACUCCAAGGAGAUUUUGAGGGUCUAAUUAAUUUCUUCUUUAAUAAUGAAUCAAUUUCUUGUUUGCAAUAUUUCAAAAGUUUUUCAUUCAUUUGAAUCGGCCUAGCCUUAGUAGGAAUUUUGGACUCAUCAAAAUUUUGAAUGUAAGGCAAACUUAUCUCAUGUUUCUUUCUUGACCAAAAAGCAUUAGGAAGAUCAGAACAAAUUUCAUUUUGAAAAAGAUCUUGAAUCUCUUUAAUUUUCUUUUGAACUUUAUCUUCUAAGAGUUGUUCAUCUACCUUUUUAUAUUGAAUUUCUUUUGAUAGAUAAUUUAUAUGAGCUUUCUUUCUUUGAAUUAAAUUUAUGUUCUUAUUUAUUGAAUCACUUUGAACUUGAUGUAUUUCUUUUUUAGUUAAUGGAUAUAUAAAGGGAAAAAAUAUGGUAUUUCCUAAUAUUGUAGUUUUGACACCUUCAUCAUUUACUUGAAAAGGGUAAAGUAAGGUAAUAAAAGGAGUUCCUAAUAUUAGAGGUUCAUUCAUAUUUUGUACUAAUAUAAAUUGAGUUCUAAAACAAUAAUUAUCUUGACAUAUAUGAACAUUUUGAAGUUUAUAUUUUAUUUCUAAUUUUCCUUUAUUUGCAGCAAAAAGUUCUUGUCCUGUUUUUUCAUAAUAUUUAGUAGGAAUUAUUCCUUCUUGAAUACAAUUCAUAUCAGCUCCCGAGUCUAUUAAUGCUACUAUUUCUAUUUCAAAAUCUUCAACUAUAAUUUUUAUAUUUGUAUACCAUCUUUGAAAAUAUAUUUUUGAUAUUGUAUUUAUAAAUGAUUCUAUAGGAGUUAUUUUAUUAGGUAUUAUUAUUCCUGGUUCUUGNNNNNNNNNNNNNNNNNNNNNNNNNNNNNNNNNNNNNNNNNNNNNNNNNNNUAUUUGAAAAACCAAAGGAAAAAAGGAAUAGUCAUCUUAACUUGUUGCAUAUAUUUUUCAUAUUGUUUUCUUAAUGCAUUUCUAACUUGAGGAGGAAGUUGUUGAAAAUAAUUUCUUUUUGCCGUAUUUUCAGGAGAAAAAUAAUUUGCUUUAAUUAAUUCUACUUCAGGAACAAAAUGAUUUCUUUUAAUGUAUUUUUUCUAAUGAUAUUUAUGUUUAAAGGAGGUUUAUCUUGAAAGAAAAUUUUUGACUCAGACUCUUCUUCAAAAAGAGAAAUUUCAGGAACAAAGUUUGAACUAUUUUUUAGUUGAUUUUCUAUUUGAUUUAAUUCUUCAUUAAAUUUUGAAUUAUUAAAUUUUAUAUGAUGACUCCAUGAUGAUGCAGCUACUGAUGCAGAUGAUGAUGCAGUAGAUGCAUUGAAAAUCUCAUUAUCUUAUAUGAAGAACUUUCUAAAUUAUAUGCAGAAUUAUUUAAUGCAGAUGCAGAACUUUCAUGGGACCUAAGAGAUCUGGAAGAACUAUUUCUACUUAAUUCCCUAAUAAUAUUACUCAUUGUCACAGAAAAUAAUCACAAUUUUAUCCUUAAUCAAUUCAGAUAAUUUCCUGAACAGGGACCACCACAAGCGGAUCAACACGGGACUUACGCUCCUUCUGCCCUUAAACACCGCUUAUCACAGGCUGACCAAACCGUUCACAGGAAAUUCAACCCGAACUAAGUCAGGACUAAAUCUGCGAUUAAUCACUGUUCCAACUCGUAACAUCACUCGGUUCUCAAGCAGAAAAUGGCUCUGAUACCAUUUGCACCCAGGACAUACAACAGUUCGUGCAUGCAAUAAUUAAGUAAUAAUUAAGCAAUAAUUAGCAAUAAUUAAAUCUGUCUAAUUAUCUCCAAGCAUAAAAACUGAAAUAUUUAAUGUCUAAUACUGUCUAAUUUAUUGCAGAAAUUUAAGCAUAAUAAAACAAAUAUUUGAAUCUGAAAAUAUUGUUUAUUGAAAAUAUACCUUGAUUACAGAGAGCUGAUGACUACAGGUUGUUGACAGCAGAGGAAUGACUCUAAUUCAAAAAGAAAAUUACAAAAGAAAAUUUUUGAACUCUCAGAAAUUUUUUGAAACUAUCUCUUGGCUGUUGGAACUCUCCCAACUCUUGGAACUCUUGAACCCUUGCCGACCUCUCACCCUAGCCGACCUCUGCCUGAUGAAGAAGGUUGAAGCUCCUUAUAUAGGUGAGGAUUCGGACUUUAGAUGAAUCUUCAAUCUUGAAAGUUUUGGAAUUUCAUCACAUGUAGGCCAGGUGGAGCAUUCUGCAGAAGAAAGAGUGAGGGAAGAUUUCAAAAUAUUCAAAACCUCAUUUUAACAUCAUUAUUAGAAAUUAUGUUCCUCUCAUAAACUCAAUAUAUUUUCAAAUUUGGUAUGAUAAAGACAAAAUCAUUAGAUAUUUGUUUUAUUCUUCAAUAGAGAUACUAAUAUUUGAAUUUUGUUUACAGAUGGAGCAAGAAAGAAUUACAUUUGGGAAAUUUACUCUUCCAGUAUUCCCUAAAUGUAAUAUGUCAUUUCGAAUUCAUAAAGAUAUUGAAGGUUUAGACAGAUCACAAAAAUGCAUUUUAGACAACCUCUGGAAUGCAAAAAGUGAUAUUCAAAAGUUGGAAGCUUUAAAUGCAUUAUCUUUCCAUUUUAAACAGUUAAAUGAUAAAUUAGAAAGUUUUUCUAACCCUUCAAGUUCUGAUAUACAUUGCACACCAAUGGAUACAGAUCUUGAAAAUUUCAUUUGCAGGAAAAAAGCAAAAGGAUCCAAAGAUGCAUUUUCAAAAGAUUUUCAAAAUGAAUUUCAAAAAGAACUUUCAAAACCAAAUGAAGAUUCAAAACUUUCUCAAGAAAGCCAAGAAUGUCAAAUUUCCAGAUUUUCAUUUUUCAAGCUGAAAAAUUUGGACCUUCUUGAAAACCUUAGACAGAUGAUCUGUGAAAAGGCUAAAGCUACAGGAGAAGCAAAGCAAGAGCAUAUCAUGCAAUUUCUUGCUGACUGUAGCACUUUUGGAAUUUCUAUUCAAGGGAUGAGCUUCACUUGGAUUUCUUGUUAUGACAAUACUUAUAAUAAUUGUCCAAAGACCGAUCCCUUGUGUAGAGAAAUUCCAUUAGAAAGGCAUGACUGUAAGUGUGCUCUUACUUACAGUAUAUGCAAAGCCAACAUUAACCUAGACAGUUAUAAACCAAUAGUCAGUCAAUAGAGUUAACUCCAUCCCUCCUCAUGGACUAUGGAGUUCUUUAUCAAUUGAUUUUCUCUCAUCCUGAUCAAACUGAUAAAUUUGGAAGAAAAUUAGUUGUUUGUGUUUUAAAUGCAUUCAUCAAUGAUUUCAAAUCUGUCGAACUCAUCAUAGAAAGUAAACCUCCUGAAUGGUCGAAUGAUGGAGGAGUCUACCCUGCUCAACAUCUCAUUUUACUCAAAGCCAAUCAGAGAAAACAUCAGCUGUUUGGUACAGAGGACCCUUGGCCCUGUACUAAAUCCAGUCUCAAAAAACAAAUCAGACAUUGGAGAUCAAGAAUGAUUGCAAGAGACCUUGAUUCCGAGAUUUAUAGUUCUUCUAACUAUAAUCUCAUUGCUGAAGAUAAUAUUCAAAAAAUCAUCUUUGCAAAUAACUUUUAUGAAGUCCCUCUUUUGUUUCAAACUCAAUUUACUUAUCUUGUUGAUAAGUAUAAAAGAGAAUAUGUCCUUGAAGAAGAAGCCAGAAAAACUUUUGAGAAAUAUCUCUUAGAAAUGCUCAGCUAAGAGAUAUCAAGAAUCAAGAAUCUUUUGUACAUCUGUAAAGUAGCUCUCUUAUGAUUAUCCAGUAAAAAAAAAAAAAAAAAAAAAAAAAAAAAGAACAGUAUAUGAAGUCUGAAGAAGUGCACAGUGCACAGUUUGUAAGUAAAAAAAAAAAGUGAAUAGUGUUUUGUGAAUAGUAAAUCCGUCCUUUAAAGUAAAAAGCAAGAUGACUCAUUACCCAUGUGACCAAAUGAAGAAGAAGAAAGCAAAUUUACCUCCUGCAUACACGUGGAAGACAUCAAAGGCAUAAUGCCUUCUUGAAAGCCCGAAGCCUUUGCUAUAAAUAGGGCUCAAAGGCUUCCUCCCAAGGCAGAGGUCGGCAAGGGUUCAAGAGCUUGGUAGAGAGUUCCAAGAGAGAUAGUUUCAAGAGUGAAAAAAUUUGAGAGUUCAAAAUUUCUGAGAGUUCAAAAAUAUUUUCUUGUAAUUUUCUUUUUGAGUUAGAGUCAUUCCUCUGCUGUCAACAACCUGUAGUCAUCAACUCUCUGUAUUGAGGUAUAUUUUCAAUAAACAAUAUUUUAUUCAAAUAUUUGUGUUAUUAUGCUUAAAUUUCUGCAAUAAAUUAGACAGUAUUAGACAUUAAAUAUUUCUGUUUUUAUGCUUGGAGAUAAUUAGACAGAUUUAAUUAUUGCUAAUUAUUGCUUAAUUAUUACUUAAUUAUUGCGUGCAUGAACUGUUGUAUGUCCUGGGUGCAAAUGGUAUCAGAGCCAUUUUCUGUUUGAGAACCGAGUGGUGUUACGAGUUGGAACAGUGAUUAAUCGCACAUUUAGUCCUGACUUAGUUCGGGUUGAAUUUCCUAUGAACGGUUUGGUCAGCCUGUGAUAAGCGGUGUUUAAGGGCAGAAGGAGCGUAAGUCCCGUGUUGAUCCGCUUGUGGUGGUCCCUGUUCAGGAAAUUAUCUGAAUUGAUUAAGGAUAAAAUUGUGAUUAUUUUCUGUGACAAUGAGUAAUAUUAUUAGGGAAUUAAGUAGAAAUAGUUCUUCCAGAUCUCUUAGGUCCCAUGAAAGUUCUGCAUCUGCAUUAAAUAAUUCUGCAUAUAAUUUAAAAAGUUCUUCAUAUAAGAUAAUGAGAUUUUCAAUGCAUCUACUGCAUCAUCAUCUGCAUCAGUAGCUGCAUCAUCAUGGAGUCAUCAUAUAAAAUUUAAUAAUUCAAAAUUUAAUGAAGAAUUAAAUCAAAUAGAAAAUCAACUAAAAAAUAGUUCAAACUUUGUUCCUGAAAUUUCUCUUUUUGAAGAAGAGUCUGAGUCAAAAAUUUUCUUUCAAGAUAAACCUCCUUUAAACAUAAAUAUCAUUAGAAAAAAAUACAUUAAAAGAAAUCAUUUUGUUCCUGAAGUAGAAUUAAUUAAAGCAAAUUAUUUUUCUCCUGAAAAUACGGCAAAAAGAAAUUAUUUUCAACAACUUCCUCCUCAAGUUAGAAAUGCAUUAAGAAAACAAUAUGAAAAAUAUAUGCAACAAGUUAAGAUGACUAUUCCUUUUUUCCUUUGGUUUUUCAAAUAUAGGAAACCCCUUAAAAGAAUUGCAACAUUAACUUCAAGAAAAGCAAUAGAAAAUUCUCCACAUAAUAAAAAAGAGUCAAGUAAAGAAUCAAAAGAAGAAUUAAGUGAAACAAAAUUUAAUAAAAUUUUGUUUUCUUCUGCCCCGGGUGAGGUGGAGGAAACAGAAACAAAAACAAAAACAUCAACAGAAACAUCAAAACCAACAAAGAUAGAAAAUCCAAAAGAAAUCAAAAAGAUAAAUGUAAUAUCGUCAAAAGUAGAUAAGCAAAUAUUUUUUGAUGUUGUAGACAAAAUUCAAGAUAAAGAAAUACAAAGAAAUUAUUUACAAAAUUUAAAAAAUUUAAUUCUCACUGAAAAUCCAAAUAAAACUCAAGACAUCAAACCUAAUCAAUACUCAAUGGAUGAAAUUUAUAAUAGAUUCAAAAAGACUCAAAGGCCAAUAACUAUUAAAGACUUGGAAGAAGAAAUAAAAGAAAUAAAAAGUCAAAUAAAUCAAUUAAAAUUAGAUAAUGAACAAAUAAAAUUAGAAAAUGAAAUAAUAAAACAAGAAAAUGAUCAAAUAAAACAAGAGAAUGAACAAAUUAGAAACGUAAUACAAUAUAAACAAGAUUUAGCCGAAACUUCUGAAAACCAAGAACCAGGAAUAAUAAUACCUAAUAAAAUAACUCCUAUAGAAUCAUUUAUAAAUACAAUAUCAAAAAUAUAUUUUCAAAGAUGGUAUACAAAUAUAAAAAUUAUAGUUGAAGAUUUUGAAAUAGAAAUAGUAGCAUUAAUAGACUCAGGAGCUGAUAUGAAUUGUAUUCAAGAAGGAAUAAUUCCUACUAAAUAUUAUGAAAAAACAGGACAAGAACUUUUUGCUGCAAAUAAAGGAAAAUUAGAAAUAAAAUAUAAACUUCAAAAUGUUCAUAUAUGUCAAGAUAAUUAUUGUUUUAGAACUCAAUUUAUAUUAGUACAAAAUAUGAAUGAACCUCUAAUAUUAGGAACUCCUUUUAUUACCUUACUUUACCCUUUUCAAGUAAAUGAUGAAGGUGUCAAAACUACAAUAUUAGGAAAUACCAUAUUUUUUCCCUUUAUAUAUCCAUUAACUAAAAAAGAAAUACAUCAAGUUCAAAGUGAUUCAAUAAAUAAGAACAUAAAUUUAAUUCAAAGAAAGAAAGCUCAUAUAAAUUAUCUAUCAAAAGAAAUUCAAUAUAAAACUUGUUCUACAAUUUAUAAUUUAAUAGUAAAUUUUAAUUUUAUAAUUAAACUAUUUAAGAAUAAUAAAUAAAAAUAUUAUAUCAUACAAUUAAAUAUACUAAGCAAUUUGUAUUUUACUAUAUAUUUUAUACUUAUUUUUCAGUCAAAUAAAUAAUACUGAAAUUAUUGUUAAUGGCAUUAAAUACAAAUUUAAUGGGAAACAGGAUCUCAUGCUUGUUAGGUUAUCCAUGGGGAAUAAAACAGCCUAAGGUCGAUCCUAAAAAUCCUAAACUUAGAACUUAGUUUAGGGAGAAUUUUGUUUUGAGCCUAGUUGGGCCAAAAAAAUUGACUAAAGAUCCAUAUAUCAUGCACAUUUAAACCCAAGACACCAAAUAAAGUGUAAAAAUUAAGUUUAUGGAUAUUAUCCUUCAUUAAUCUUUAAAAUAGCUUUAACCCCUAUAUAGACACAUAGUGAGUGUAAAUUUCAAAUUUUUUUUUUUUUUUGUGUUGUUUUCCCUUUUCUAUUCCCAAUUAAAUAUUACUCAUUUCUAACUUUUUUAUUUUUCUUUUUUAAAGAUAUUGAAUCUUUUUACUCUUAUUAUAAGUAAGAAUAAAAAAAUUUCAUAUAAAAUUUAAUGGAUAAUCAAUGAAUGAAAUUUAAUUCUUUUUAUUAUUUUUAUAUAAAAAUAGUAUUAAACAAGGUUUUCAAUUUUUAUUUUUAAAAAUAGUUUUCAUUUUUUAAUUAAAUGUUUUUUCAAAAAGAAAAUAUAAAAAAUAUAAAUCAUAUUACCAUUUUUUUAGAAAGUAUUUUUAAAAAUAGUUUUUGAAAGUAAUUUUUCUUUAUUUAUAAUUUAAAAUAGAAAAUAAAGCUAAUUUUCAAUUAUUUAUAAAAAAAAAGUUUUAAAAAACAAUGAAAAAUCCAAAUGGUUAAAAUAGAAUUAUUAUGGUUGAAUGAAUAGUGGUGCAAUAAAAACCAAAAAAUCUUAUGUGAAAGGUCAAUGAGUAUUUUGAUCUUUUGAUAUCAUAUAUCAUUUCUAUCAAUUAUGUAAGUUAUAUGAACCAAAUCUUAAUUUUUGGACAUAGUUGGACCUAAAACACAAUUGUCCCCUUAGUUAAUGUGCAUAGACCUGUUAUUGUCUCAAGGUGGGUAGAAGAAUUGGUGACAUUAUUUGGAAGAAUGAUCAAUAAAGACGAAGAUGACUUUGUUUUCUUUGGUUGACUUUGAAACAUUGGAGUAGAAUUUGUGUCUUUCUUAGAAUGAGAGAUGACAUGGUUAAAAUAACAGUACAUAGUUAGCAAGAUCAAGGAAACAAAGUUUAAGUUGGUGACUCCAUGGUUUCAGUUGAUGUGUGGCAAAUAAUGGGUCAAUUGUCCAUUUGUAAACAUAUGAGUUCACCAAACCUUGGACUUGGAAACUCUCCAACUAUCUCAUUACUGGAAGGAAGACGACGACUAGAGUUCUCUAUAUGUAGCUUUGUUAAGUUUGAUUCAUUCUUAUGGUCAAAGUCUAUGUCGCUUUACCUCAUUGGAAAAAAAAGAAAAAAAAAACAAAUCCUUGAAGAAUUGUUUGUCUAGAAUGAUUUGAACGUUUGUUGAGUGGUCUUGUCAUUGGAAGAUUAUUAGGGAAUGAAAAUGACUACCGUUUUUAUUUUUAUUUUUUAUUUUCAUUUUUAUAUAUAGCCUUCUUGAGUUUGAUUCACUCUUAAGGUCAAGGUCUUUCAAUUGAUUGUGUCUUGUGUGAUUUGAAUGCAUGUUAACUCUAGUGGUUGGGUGACAACUCCGAUCGCCUAUUCUUUAUUUCAUUUGGAAAAAAAUUGCAUUCAACAGUUUGAAUGCCUGUUGAGUCAAGUGGUUGCCUAGCAACUUGUACAGUGUAUAUUAUUUUACAUUCUAUCAACUCUAGGUUUUUUAAGACAACCAUCCAUCCAUUCUAGGUUCAAACUUCAAAGAAGCCUUUACAGCUUUAAGACAAUCACCCGAGAAUAUGAAACCAAAUAGAUAAAUACCUUUCAUGAUUAUGGACCAAAGCUACAUUAGGGUUAGGGAUUGACUUUAUACCAUUUAUAACAAUCCGUUUCUAAUAGUGUGUAUAUUAUUCGUUCUGGACCCAAAAAGAUCCUUACGGUUUUGAAAUGCGUUCAUAUAAUUAAGAGGAACUCAUAUUUAUUCAACGUUGAAACUUUCUUUGUUCUCAUAUGUGAGAUAUCUCAAUUGUUACGAGACAGGGACAAACAUGGUUUUGAGGGUUAGUCUUGUAAUCAUCUUUAUGUUACAGAUCCUAUAUUCCUAUUUACAUUUAAUUUUUUGUAGACCUGAUCCAUGAGAACGGAGACUUGGAGAAGUCUUCCACUCCCUUUGAAAGGGCUAUUAUUAGGUAAAACAAUGGUAAGACUUUUUGUCUGUGAAGACUUGACUUGGGCUUGUUCCAGACUGGUGAAGGCACUUUCCCCUACUUCACUUUGGAAAAAAUGCACUUUUGGGUUUUGAGUUGACUGCAUUGACUUGAUACAAGUUUACAAUAAUGGCCGAGCUGAUCAAACUUACAAUUAUUAUGCAGUUUUGUUGUUGCCAAAACUUGUUACAUAUACUGGGGAUGAAGAUAACUUGUAAUCCUUUUGUUUUAUGAUAUCAGAAGUUUUUGUUUAGGCCCUUGAUAUCCAUCUUAGGCUUAAUUUUGGUGCUAUGUAUUCUUGAAAACGAAGCUGAUUGUGACUACCAUAUAUUUAGUGGAUGGCCUUGUUUUUGUUGCAUGUAUCAGUUUUGGUGAAAAUUUUGGACUCUCACUUGUAGAAUUAGAAAGGAAGCUUCGGGGAUUUGACAUUUCUUUUCUCUGGUUUGAUCAAUCCAUUUGAGCUCACCAAAUUUGACCCUUUUUAAUGGGUCACACCUCAGCUCUUCAUAAGUUUAUGGUAGGCCAAGAUUUGCCUUGGUUCCCUUUACUUUCGAGUAUAUAUGUAGCCUUUUUUUUUUUAGUAUGAAAAUCACAAUAGCUUCAUAAUAAAGCUAACUAGGGUAAAGUUUUUACCUUAAAAUAAAUAAAAAAUUGUUCUCAUUAGCAGUUUUUUGCAGGACAAGAAAAAUAUCGAAGAAAACAGGUGUUAUACGAGAAAACGGAAACUUGAACAUGAAUAAACCAUUAAUCUCAUUGUUUAACAAUGCUAUAUUUAGAACAUCAAAUCUUUGAUGUUCAAGCCUUCAAUCCUCUUAUCCUUGCACAUUGUCAGCCGGUACCCGAGGUGCAAUUUUCUAUUCACCCACAAAAAGUCUUUUUGAUAUUUUUACAACUUUAUCAAUUACUCGAACGAAAUUUAGUUAUGGAAAAGAACUGGGACUUUUGAAGAUGCAUUACAUUGUGUUGAAGAUGCAGGAGGUUCGAAACCAUGCAUUAUUGGUAGACUAGGUAGAGUUCCACUCAAAUUAUUUCUUACCUUGCUAAAUUCUCUGUGACAACAUCUGAGAAAUAAUCUCCAUGGUUGGCCUGGAUUGUGGAUUGGCAUUUAAACAUGCAGUUGCGAGCUUUAUGAUAGCUACCACUUCCCCUUCGUCUUGGGGUGUGAGAGGUGGGAGUCGCGGGUCCAACAUGUCUUUCAACACUAUGUUCUUCUCUGGGGAAACUGAUAUAGACAAGAUUUGAUCUCCAGGAUGUCUUCCUUUGAUAACUUCCAGUGCUAUCACUCCAAAGCUAUAGACAUCGGUUUUUUCUGUGACCUUCAUUGUAUAAGCAUGCUCUGCAAAAUUAGAAGAUAAAUAUUACAUCGUGAGCAUGUUAGAUUUCUUUGUUAGUUGAGGAGUGAAGUGUACCUGGUGCAACGUAUCCGACUGUGCCUGCAAGUUUGCUCUGAUUUGAUGAGUCUACCUUAAGAAGCUUGGCAGUGCCCAAGUUAGAAAUAUGAGCCUCAUAUUGAGAAUCCAGCAGAAUAUUGUUGCUCGAUAUAUCCCGAUGAACAAUCGGGGGUGAGCAAUCAUGGUGCAUGUAAGACAAAGCGUGAGCCACUCCUUUGAUGAUCUUGACCCUUGUAGCCCAACCCAAUUUUUUAGCUUCUUCUCUGCUCAAGAUUGUAGCCAAGCUACCUCUUUCAAGGUACUCAUAGACCAAAAAGGAGUGUCGUGGAUAUGAACAGAAACCAAGAAGUCUCACAAUGUUUCGAUGCUUGAUCUCUGUCAUUGCCCUUACUUUAUUCAAGAAAUCCUUUUGAUUUGCCAUAUCCAUGUCGGAUGGGUGAAGCUUCUUCACAGCUACUAUAUUACCUGAUGGCAGCUCUGCUUUGUAAACGCUUCCAUGCCCUCCCUUUCCGAUGCAAUACAUGGGAUCAAAGUCCUUGGUGGCCUUUAUAAUCUCUUCAUACAUUGCUCUUCCAUCAAAAGUUGAUAUUGAGAGGAGAUUAUUCUGUACAUCACCUUCUUCGAUUUCUGGAGUUCUCUCUCUUCUUUCAGCAAUCAAGAAAAUCCCAAUGAAAGCAGAAAGAAGUACAAGUGCUCCCAAAAGAGGGAAUAUGAUAAUAAACACAACUUUGUGGCUCUUUUUGACAGGUUGUUGGUCUACUCCAAAACCAUAUUUGCAAGGUUGCAACCCUUUAACAUUGCCGCACAAAUCUUUGUUCCCCUUUAGCACCUCAAUGGUAGCAUUUCGAAAUGCAUUGCUGUGAGGAAUGGGACCCUGCAACUGAUUGUAGGAAAUGUCAACAUACGACAAGGCAGGCAUGUCCUCAAAAGCCUUUGGGAUGAAACCACAAAGGUUGUUAUGGGAGAGAUCAAGCAUCUCCAAACUCUCCAAACCUUGGAUCUGUGCCGGGAUGCCACCUGUAAGCAAGUUGUGACUCAGAUCUAGCUGGGAGAGGUGACUCAGCUUACCCAUCUGAACCGGAAUUCCGUGGCUGAGUUUGUUAUUGCUCAGGUUCAAGUAAUGCAAGUCCAAGCAGUCGCCCAAGUGCUCUGGUAUUGACCCAUUCAAUCUAUUGGCUGAAAGGUCUAGAUACUCAAGGUGGGACAGCGAUCCAAGUUCAGGAGGAAUACUCCCGGAAAGUUGGUUGUCAUUCAAUAUCAGCCCCAACAGAGAAGUCAAACUUCCCAUUUUCUUUGGAAUUUCCCCAACCAAAUGAUUUGAAGAAAGAUCAAGCAAGAUUAGAUUAGUUGAGAUUCCAAAAUCUUCUGGUAUGCUCCCUGUAAUAUUGUUCCCGGCAAUCUCCAGCCUUUGUAGUUGUGGGCAUCUUCCCCAGUUAUGAGAGAGUUCACCAUGAAACCUGUUGUAGCUCAAAUCGAUGAAUUCCAGGUUUGGACAGUCACCAACUACCUCAGAUACAUUUCCAGUGAGUCGGUUUCCCUGGAACAGAGCUCUGGUUAAGUUUCUGCAAUUUUUCAAGCUUUUGGGGAUGGGACCACUGAGAUGGUUGUCACUCACUGUAAAGCGCUCCAGAGAUCCACCUUGGCAAAUGCCUUCCGGUAAAGAGCCAAACAGCUGGUUUGUGUCGAUUUCUAGCACAACCAACUUAUGAAGUUUCCCAAUUUCUUGAGGAAAGUAACCAGAAAGACGGUUAUCACGGAGGAAUAAAAUUUCUAAGUUGGUUAGAUUACCCAGUGAAGUAGGAAUGGAACCAUUGAGUUGAUUUUCUGAAAGUUCUAGAUCAACAAGAGACUUCAAGUUACCUAUUUCUUGAGGAAUGGGACCGGAAAGUUGAUUGGCAUAGAGAUGCAGGAGGGUUAGGCCACUCAGAUCACAUAAUGACACAGGGAUUGGGCCUGAAAGAUUGUUUCCGUAGAGGCUUAGACCUUGCAGGGAUUUCAAAUUUCCUAUUUCUGGUGGGAUAGGCCCAGAGAGGCUAUUGUUGAACAAGUACAACACGGUUAAAUGUUUCAAAUUUCCAAAAGUGGAAGGGAUGGGACCUGUGAGAUUGUUGGUAUCCGAGUAUAGCUGAACAAGGUUGGUGAGAUUUCCCAUUUCUGGAGGAAUGGAACCCGAAAGUUGAUUUUCAUAGAGAUACAAAGAGGCCAAGUUGCUCAAAUUACCCAAAGAAGCAGGAAUAGAACCCUCCAGUUGGUUGGUGUACAAAGCAAGCUCAUAAAGAGACGUCAACUGACCUAUUUCAUGAGGAAUUGAACCAUUCAACUGAUUUUGAACCAGGUGUAAGACCUCAAGAUUAGUUAAUAGGCCGAUCUCGGGCGGAAUCCCUCCUGAGAACUGGUUGAUAGAGAGAUCAAGGUAUUUGAGCUUGGAGAGGAGACCGAUUUGGGGUGGGAUAGGACCAGAGAGGUUGUUCAUGCUGAUAUCAACAUACGCAAGAUUGGGAAAAGAUGAGAAUGAGAAGGCUUGGAGCGUACCUCCUAAACCCGACUCUGUGAGGUUUAUUCUGAUGACGCUCCCUGCAUGGUUGCAGGAUAUUCCGUACCAUUUGCAUGGACUGACUUCUGUUCCAAGGUGGGUAGAAGAAUUGGUGAAGUUGUUAGGAUAAAGAGUCCACGAAAGGAGGGAAGAAUGGUUAUGGUUGUGAAGGGUAGCUUUCCAUUUGAGGAGAGCUUGUGUUUCUUCAUUAGAAUAAGAAGAAACAUGGUCUGAAGAAAUCAACAUAACCAAGAGGAGCAAGGAAACAAGGGAGAGCAUUUUCUGUAAGGUUGAGGGUGCCAUGGUUUUGGUUGAUGAAUUGCAUAUGCUGCUUCACAACUUCAUUUAUACACAUUUGGUUCCUUUGUUCGUCCCACUCGGAAACUUCCUUGUUCACACUUCACACCAAUUAAAAUUCAGCCCUUUAAUGUCAAGAUUGAGGUCUUUUAAAGCAUGGCUCCCUUUUUCUUUCUUUUUGCCUGGGGUUCCCUUUCUACUAGCAUGGUGGUCUUCCUAUAUCUUUGUGGUCGUCGAAGUCUUCUCCGGUCUCUUUCAAAAUGAAUAAUGACGAUGAAGGUUGGUUGGAGACUAACGCUCUCUUUGACAAUUAUUUUGGACAACAGAGCAGGUUUAGUAAUAAAAAAAUUAUUUUUUAUUUUUUAUUCUUAAACACAGAAAAUGAUAUGUUUUUUAGGGACUUUUUUUUUAAUUAUCAUCAAUUAUUUUGAUUUGUUUUUUAAAAAUUAUUUUAAAAAAUAACUAUAAAAAAUGGAGAAUAAUUAAAAAAAAUGGACAAAAAUUUUAUUUUUAAAAAUAUUUAAAAACAUUAAAUAUGUGAUAAAAAUAUUUAAGAUUUCUAAAUACAUUUUUAUUUUACCAUUCAUCAAAGAACUGCCGUUAAAAACUGUUAUAAAAAAAUAGUUGUUAAAGAUAACUUAAUUUUAUUUGAAUCUUUGUUUUUAUCUUUACGAUGAUCUUCUUCUUUUACUCUUUGUAAAAGAAAACCGAACUUGAAAAUUUGUUUCAGUUAAGUAAUUAUAAAAGAAAAUUUUAGUCUACUUAAUAACUAAGUUGAUUUAUUAAAACUUAAUAAUUAAUAUUUACCCUAGGCUUGGUUUUUAGAAAAUUUUAAAUGAAUUGAAUAUGAAAAAAAAAUGAAGUUUUAAAAAGAAAAAAACAAAAUUUAAGUUAAUAAAUUAUUUUUAUAUGUUUUUAAAUUUUAUUUGAAUGAUUUAUUUUUAUAUAAAGAAUAAAUAAUUUAAAAAUGCUUAAAUUUUUAAAUGAUUUUAAUUAUAUUUAAUUUAUUUAUUUUUAUGUAUUUUACAUUUUAAUAUUUAUUAUAAUAUGAAAUAUCAUAUGUUUAUUAUUAUUUGAAAUUGCUUUACAAUUUAUAAUUUAAUAGGAAAUUUUAAUUUAUUUAUUGAUAGUAUUCAUAAUUAAACUAUUUAAAACUUAUAAAUAAAAAAUAGUAUAUUAUAUAAUUAAAACAAUUUGUAUAGAUUAAAAUACUGUAGUAAUGAUAUAUAUUAGUAUUUUACUGUGUAUUUUAUACUUAUUUUUCAGUUAAUUUAAUUUUAAUUUUAAUUUUUAAUUUUUAAUUUUAAUUAAAACAAUUUAACUUUAAUUUUUUAAUUAUUAUUUUUUUAACUUUUAAGUAAUAUAAAAAAAAUUAAAGAAAAAUAAAAGGAAAUGGAUAAGAAAAGUAAAUCCGUGAUUCGGCCCAUUCCAGUCCACAGUUACCGCCGACGACACCGACGUCAGUCAACCGGCAACCGCGACGCCGCCUCAGCAGCGCAGUCACUGCCGCCAUCUCCGGAAACUCCACAGCACCACUCCUUUCCACCCAGAUGCCACGCGCCGUCGCUCACGGCAUCUCCGCCCGUGGCCUUGCCAUUCAAGGCGCCGCUCCGUCGCCGACUCCUUCCACACCCACCCCAUUCACUAACGCCAAGACCACCAUGGUCUCGGCCACUGCCUCUGGUAGCCAACAUGGCUGCCAUCUUCAUCCUCCAUCUCACCUCUCCGCCGUACCCCACUACCAAUCUCCUUCGGCCUCCAUGAUCCCCAUCUCCGCCGCUGAACCCAUCACCCUACCGGCGCCAACAUCUUUUCUUCUUUAUUUAUUUAUUUAUUUAUUCCAGUGCUGCUCAUAUAUUUUGAUAUGUAAAUAUUUAAUUUGUUAAUUAGAAAAUACAUGAGUAGCAGUCUUGGUAGAUGAAUGGAUGAAUUUUCUGCAUGAGUAGCAGAGAUUUAUCUACUUCUAUUCACACAAAACCACACUUUAUUUCUUUGGGCACAAAGCCACAAUUUCUAUGAGUACAAAUCACACCGGGUACUUGAUGUAGAAAGAAAGACUAAACAAACUCAAAAGGCAUUACAUAGUGCUGAAGAUGCAGGAGGUUCGAAACCAUGUGUUACGGUAGACUAGGUAGAGUUCCCCACAAACUAAAUCUUACCUUACUACUUUCUCUGUGAUAACAUCUGAGAAACAGUCUGCAUGGUUGGCCUGGAUUGCGGGUUGGCUUUUAAGCAUUCAAUUGCUUGCUUUAGGAUAGCUAUCACUUCCCCCUCAUCCUGGGGUGUGAGAGGUGGGAGUCGGGGGUCCAACAUGUCUUCCAACGCUAUGUUAUCCUUCUCUGGGGAAACUGAUAGAGACAAGAUCUGAUCUCCAGGAUGUCUUCCUUUGAUAACUUCCAGUGCUAUUACUCCAAAGCUAAAGACAUCAGUUUUUUCGGUCACCUUCAUUGUAUAAGCAAGCUCUGCAAAAUUAAAAGAUAAAUAUUAUAUCGUGGACAUGUUUCAUACCUUGUUUAAUUCAAGAGUGAACCGUACCUGGUGCAAGAUAUCCGAAUGUGCCUGCAAGUAUGCUCUGAUUCGAUGAGUCUAGCUUUAGAAGCUUGGCAGUGCCGAAGUCAGAAAUAUGAGCUUCAUACUGAGAAUCCAGCAGAAUAUUGUUGCUUGAUACAUCCCGAUGAACAAUAGGGGGUGAGCAAUCAUGGUGCAUGUAAGCCAAAGCAUGAGCCACUCCUUUAAUGAUAUUGACCCUUGUAGCCCAACCCAAUUUCUUAGCUUCUUCUCUGCUCAAGAUUGUAGCCAGGCUACCUCUUUCAAGGUACUCGUAGACCAAAAACUUGUGUCGUGGAUGUGAACAGAAACCAAGAAGUUUCACUAUGUUUCGAUGCUUGAUUUCUGUUAGUGCCCUUAUUUCAUUUAAGAAAUCCUUUUGAUUUGCCAUCUCUGUGUCGGAUGGGUGAAGCUUCUUCACAGCUACUAUAUUACUUGAUGGCAGCUCUGCUUUGUAAACACUUCCAUGGCCUCCCUUUCCUAUGCAAUACAUGGGAUCAAAAUCCUUGGUGGCCUUUAUAAUCUCUUCAUACAUUGUUCUUCCAUCAAAAUUUGAUAUUGAAAAGAGAUCAUUCUGUACGUCACCUUCUUCGAUUUCUGGAGUUCUCUCUCUUCUUUCAGCAAUCAAGAAAAUCCCAAUGAAAGCAAAAAGAAGUACAAGUGCUCCCAAAAGAGGGAAUAUGAUAAUAAACACAACUUUGUGGCUCUUUUUGACAGGUUGUUGGUCUACUCCAAAACCAUAUUUGCAAGGUUGCAACCCUUUAACAUUGCCGCACAAAUCUUUGUUCCCCUUUAGCACCUCAAUGGUAGCAUUUCGAAAUGCAUUGCUGUGAGGAAUGGGACCCUGCAACUGAUUGUAGGAUAUGUCAACAUACGACAAGGCAGGCAUGUCCUCAAAAGCCUUUGGGAUGAAACCACAAAGGUUGUUAUGGGAGAGAUCAAGCAUCUCCAAGCUUUGCAAACCUUGGAUCUGUGGCGGGAUGCCACCUGCAAGCAAGUUGUGACUCAGAUCUAGCUGGGAGAGGUGACUCAGCUUACCCAUCUGAACCGGAAUUCCGUGGCUGAGUUUGUUAUUGCUCAGGUUCAAGUAAUGCAAGUCCAAGCAGUCGCCCAAGUGCUCUGGUAUUGACCCAUUCAAUCUAUUGGCUGAAAGGUCUAGAUACUCAAGGUGGGACAGCGAUCCAAGUUCAGGAGGAAUACUCCCGGAAAGUUGGUUGUCAUUCAAUAUGAGCCCCAACAGAGAAGUUAAACUUCCCAUUUUCUUUGGAAUUUCCCCAACCAAAUGAUUUGAAGAAAGAUCAAGCAAGGUUAGAUUAGUUGAGAUUCCAAAAUCUUCUGGUAUGCUCCCUGUAAUAUUGUUCCCGGCAAUCUCCAGCCUUUGUAGUUGUGGGCAUCUUCCCCAGUUAUGAGAGAGUUCACCAUGAAACCUGUUGUAGCUCAAAUCGAUGAAUUCCAGGUUUGGACAGUCACCAACUACCUCAGAUAUAUUUCCAGUGAGUCGGUUUCCCUGGAACAGAGCUCUGGUUAAGUUUCUGCAAUUUUUCAAGCUUUUGGGGAUGGGACCACUGAGAUGGUUGUCACUCACUGCAAAGCGCACCAGAGAUCCAGCUUGGCAAAUGCCUUCCGGUAAAGAGCCAAACAGCUGGUUUGUGUCGAUUUCUAGCACAACCAACUUAUGAAGUUUCCCAAUUUCUUGAGGAAUGUAACCAGAAAGUUGAUUAUCACGGAGGAAUAAAAUUUCUAAAUUGGUUAGAUUACCCAGUGAAGUAGGAAUGGAACCAUUGAGUUGAUUUUCAGAAAGUUCUAGAUCAACAAGAGACUUCAAGUUUCCUAUUUCUUGAGGAAUGGGACCGGAAAGUUGAUUGGCAUAGAGAUGCAGGAGGGUUAGGCCACUCAGAUCACAUAAUGACACAGGGAUUGGACCAGAAAGAUUGUUUUCGUAGAGGCUUAGCUCUUGCAGGGAUUUCAAAUUUCCUAUUUCUGGUGGGAUAG